rnacentral:rRNA from 1 species
ACUUAAAUUGAAGAGUUUGAUCAUGGCUCAGAUUGAACGCUGGCGGCAGGCCUAACACAUGCAAGUCGAGCGGUAGCACAGAGAGCUUGCUCUCGGGUGACGAGCGGCGGACGGGUGAGUAAUGUCUGGGAAACUGCCUGAUGGAGGGGGAUAACUACUGGAAACGGUAGCUAAUACCGCAUAAUGUCGCAAGACCAAAGUGGGGGACCUUCGGGCUCAUGCCAUCAGAUGUGCCCCAGAUGGGGAUUAGCUAGUAGGUGGGGGUAACGGCGUCACCUAGGCGACGAUCCCUAGCUGGGUCUGAGAGGGAUGACCAGCCACAC